CCUACGGGAGGCAGCAGUGGGGAAUAUUGGACAAUGGGGGCAACCCUGAUCCAGCCAUGCCGCGUGUGUGAAGAAGGCCCUCGGGUUGUAAAGCACUUUCAGCGAGGAAGAACGCCUAGCGGUUAAUACCCGCUAGGAAAGACAUCACUCGCAGAAGAAGCACCGGCUAACUCCGUGCCAGCAGCCGCGGUAAUACGAAGGGUGCAAGCGUUAAUCGGAAUUACUGGGCGUAAAGCGCGCGUAGGUGGCUUGAUAAGCCGGUUGUGAAAGCCCCGGGCUCAACCUGGGAACGGCAUCCGGAACUGUCAAGCUAGAGUGCAGGAGAGGAAGGUAGAAUUCCCGGUGUAGCGGUGAAAUGCGUAGAGAUCGGGAGGAAUACCAGUGGCGAAGGCGGCCUUCUGGACUGACACUGACACUGAGGUGCGAAAGCGUGGGUAGCAAACAGGAUUAGAUACCCUGGUAGUCCACGCCGUAAACGAUGUCGACCAGCCGUUGGGUGCCUAGCGCACUUUGUGGCGAAGUUAACGCGAUAAGUCGACCGCCUGGGGAGUACGGCCGCAAGGUUAAAACUCAAAUGAAUUGACGGA
rnacentral:rRNA from 1 species